rnacentral:antisense_RNA from 1 species
CCUUAUGGCGGAGCUGUGCGGGGCUUCUUCGGAAGCGCCGGUUCUCUGUGCCCGGUAAGGCUAACCCGCCCAGCUCUGCCACCCAC